UACGGAGGGUGCAAGCGUUGUUCGGAAUCAUUGGGCGUAAAGCGCGUGUAGGCGGCUAGGCAAGUCGGUUGUGAAAGCCCGGGGCCCAACCCCGGAACUGCAUCUGAAACUGCCUGGCUAGAGUCCCGGAGAGGAAGGCAGAAUUCCCGGUGUAGGGGUGAAAUCCGUAGAUAUCGGGAGGAAUACCAGCGGCGAAGGCGGCCUUCUGGACGGUGACUGACGCUGAGACGCGAAAGCGUGGGGAGCGAACAGG
rnacentral:rRNA from 1 species